rnacentral:rRNA from 1 species
CCUACGGGUGGCAGCAGUGGGGAAUAUUGGACAAUGGGGGCAACCCUGAUGCAGCCAUGCCGCGUGUGUGAAGAAGGCCCUCGGGUUGUAAAGCACUUUCAGUGAGGAAGAACGCCUGGUGGUUAAUACCCAUCAGGAACGACAUCACUCACAGAAGAAGCACCGGCUAACUCCGUGCCAGCAGCCGCGGUAAUACGGAGGGUGCGAGCGUUAAUCGGAAUUACUGGGCGUAAAGCGCGCGUAGGUGGCUUGAUAAGCCGGUUGUGAAAGCCCCGGGCUCAACCUGGGAACGGCAUCCGGAACUGUCAAGCUAGAGUGCAGGAGAGGAAGGUAGAAUUCCCGGUGUAGCGGUGAAAUGCGUAGAGAUCGGGAGGAAUACCAGUGGCGAAGGCGGCCUUCUGGACUGACACUGACACUGAGGUGCGAAAGCGUGGGUAGCAAACAGGAUUAGAUACCCUAGUAGUC